rnacentral:rRNA from 1 species
GUGAGGAAUUUUGCGCAAUGGCCGCAAGGCUGACGCAGCAACGCCGCGUGGGUGAUGAAGGCCUUCGGGUCGUAAAGCCCUGUCAGGUGGGAAGAAAGGCCUGGAGAGGAAAGGUUUCAGGUUUGACGGUACCACCAGAGGAAGCACCGGCUAACUCCGUGCCAGCAGCCGCGGUAAUACGGAGGGUGCGAGCGUUAUUCGGAAUUACUGGGCGUAAAGCGCGUGUAGGCGGGGGGACAAGUCUGAUGUGAAAGCCCUGGGCUUAACCUGGGAAGUGCAUUGGAAACUGUUGUGCUGGAGUACUGGAGAGGAAGGGGGAAUUCCCGGUGUAGAGGUGAAAUUCGUAGAGAUCGGGAGGAAUACCAGUGGCGUAGGCGCCCUUCUGGACGGUAACUGACGCUGAGACGCGAAAGCGUGGGGAGCAAACAGGAUUAGAAACCCGUGUAGUCC